ACGGAGGGUGCAAACGUUGCUCGGAAUCAUUGGGCGUAAAGCGCACGUAGGCGGUUUUUCAAGUUGGAUGUGAAAGCCCUGGGCUCAACCCAGGAAGUGCAUUCAAAACUGUGAGACUUGAGUUCCGGAGGGGCCCAGAGAAUUCCCGGUGUAGAGGUGAAAUUCGUAGAUAUCGGGAGGGAUACCAGUGGCGAAGGCGCUGGGCU
rnacentral:rRNA from 1 species